rnacentral:rRNA from 1 species
UCCAGAGACUGCAAGCGUUACUCGGAUUCCCUGGGCGUAAAGGGAGCGCAGGCGGCAUCGUGUGUCGGAUGUGAAACCCGGGGGCUCAACUCCCGGACUGCGUCUGAAACUGCGAUUCUAGGGACUCGGAGGGGCUAGUGGAAUUCUUGGUGGAGCAGUGAAAUGCGUAGAUAUCAAGAGGAACACCAACGGCGAAGGCAGCUAGCUGGACGAGAUCCGACGCUCAGGCUCGAAAGUAUGGGGAGCAAAAAGG